UUUGUCUGAACAAAAAAAUAAAAGUCAGGGAAAAUCUGGAAGGGAGCCUCCAGUGUGAUAAAUUGACACUGGAUCCAGCCUGGAGCAGGCUUUGAAGCAGGAGAGGCUCCUGGGGAGCUUCCCCCUCUCUCUGAUGUCUGAAAAUUAAAAAUUAAUCCUCUAUGAAAAAUUAAAAGGUGAAACUUUCUGCUCUUUCAGCAGCAGAGCUUUUGGAAUGCUGAUGUGGGGCUUGGAGUGGAGGCUGAGUGACAUCUCCGGGAACAGCACCGUGGGCUGUGCGUUGCAAUAUCAGAUUUUAAUUGAUUUCUGGAAAUUGCAAACCUGUUUGCAAAGGGCUGGAGACGCUUAAGAAGGGGUAAAUAUUUAUUUAUUGAUGUAAAUAACCUUAAACAGGCAUUUACUCCCUCCUGCAGAGCUACUCCCAGUUCACAGCACAGCCAAAGGGAGCGGUGCAAGGUCCAAUUUGGCUUUUUUCAGGGCAGUUCUCUGCAGUUUCAGAGCCUCCAGCUGCUCCUGGGGCAGGCACAGAGUCCUGGGGGGCUUGGGGCUGGGAGGGACCCUAGGGCUCAGCCAUUGCAGCCCCUCCAUGGGACACAGCCCAGCAGCUCCUGGGGGAGUUCUGCCAGACACCGAGGGGACUGGGGAGCAGGAGUGGGGUCUGGGGGCUCAGAACCCGCCAGGGACAGUUCAGGGACCCCUCUGUGAUGGGGGAUUGGGGAGCAGGAGGAGGAGGAAUGGGGUCUGGGGGCUCGGAACCCGCCAGGGACAGUUCAGGGACCCCUCUGUGAUGGGGGAUUGGGGAGCAGGAGGAGGAGGAAUGGGGUCUGGGGGCUCGGAACCCGCCAGGGACAGUUCAGGGACCCCUCUGUGAUGGGGGAUUGGGGAGCAGGAGGAGGAGGAAUGGGGUCUGGGGGCUCGGAACCCGCCAGGGACAGUUCAGGGACCCCUCUGUGAUGGGGGAUUGGGGAGCAGGAGGAGGAGGAAUGGGGUCUGGGGGCUCGGAACCCGCCAGGGACAGUUCAGGGACCCCUCUGUGAUGGGGGAUUGGGGAGCAGGAGGAGGAGGAAUGGGGUCUGGGGGCUCGGAACCCGCCAGGGACAGUUCAGGGACCCCUCUGUGAUGGGGGACUGGGGAGCAGGAGUGGGGUGUGGGGGCUCAGAACCCGCCAGGGACAGUUCAGGGACCCCUCUGUGAUGGGGGAUUGGGGAGCAGGAGGAGGAGGAAUGGGGUCUGGGGGCUCGGAACCCGCCAGGGACAGUUCAGGGACCCCUCUGUGAUGGGGGAUUGGGGAGCAGGAGGAGGAGGAAUGGGGUCUGGGGGCUCGGAACCCGCCAGGGACAGUUCAGGGACCCCUCUGUGAUGGGGGAUUGGGGAGCAGGAGGAGGAGGAAUGGGGUCUGGGGGCUCGGAACCCGCCAGGGACAGUUCAGGGACCCCUCUGUGAUGGGGGAUUGGGGAGCAGGAGGAGGAGGAAUGGGGUCUGGGGGCUCGGAACCCGCCAGGGACAGUUCAGGGACCCCUCUGUGAUGGGGGAUUGGGGAGCAGGAGGAGGAGGAAUGGGGUCUGGGGGCUCGGAACCCGCCAGGGACA
rnacentral:lncRNA from 1 species